CCUACGGGGGGCUGCAGUGGGGAAUAUUGGACAAUGGGCGAAAGCCUGAUCCAGCCAUGCCGCGUGUGUGAAGAAGGCCUUCGGGUUGUAAAGCACUUUCAGUGGGGAAGAAAGCCUUGGGGCUAAUACCCUCGAGGAAGGACAUCACCCACAGAAGAAGCACCGGCUAACUCCGUGCCAGCAGCCGCGGUAAUACGGAGGGUGCGAGCGUUAAUCGGAAUUACUGGGCGUAAAGCGCGCGUAGGCGGUCUGAUAAGCCGGUUGUGAAAUCCCCGGGCUCAACCUGGGAACGGCAUCCGGAACUGUCAGGCUAGAGUGCAGGAGAGGAAGGUAGAAUUCCCGGUGUAGGAGUGAAAUGCGUAGAGAUCGGGAGGAAUACCAGUGGCGAAGGCGGCCUUCUGGACUGACACUGACGCUGAGGUGCGAAAGCGUGGGUAGCAAACAGGAUUAGAUACCCGGGUAGUC
rnacentral:rRNA from 1 species